GAAAGUCUGGAAUUCACAUUAACAUAAACCAUAAACGCAGAAUCAGUGAUUAAGGACACUUCGGAGAUGUUCUUUUGGGGAUAAAAUCUGGCAAGACUGCUGGCCCGGGAAAUAUUUACGCCAUCAUCUAAAGUUCUGACACACAAGUGACCAUUACCUUUUGAUGCAUAAAACAAGUAAUAUGUAUUUUUUCUGAGUACAAAAUCAUUGUGUUCACUUUGGAAAAUAUAGAAAAAAUACAAUAUACUUUAACAGCAUCACCCAGAGGUCUUUUCUUUAUCCGUCUGAUGCCCUUUUAUACAGAAUUAUAAGAGCAAUGUAUAUUGCGUGUAACAAAUUUUUCACCCAAACGUUUCUUCAUGAUGCUACCCUUCUACAUGAUUUUAAAUAGCUGGGUAAAUAUUUCCUGGGAUGUGUGUUUCAAAAUUUAAUCAGGGUUUCUAGUGAUUCUUGACUGUCACAAAUACUGUGGCAAAAAACGCACAGGCAAAUCGUCAUCUCACAUCUGAUUGUUUCUCUAGGUUAAUUUCCUACAAAUAGUUACAGGCCAAGGCAUGGCUAUUUUAAAGUUUCUGAAGUAUGUCCAUGAUUUUUAUGUGUGCAGUGAUGUCAUAGCAUGCAUCACAUGGGGCAGACACGGGAUGCUGUGGGAUUCUGCCCCUGAGUCCUUGGUGGGGGGGUCCCUGUCACGGGGAGCAUUGUGAUGGGCUCACGCCAUCCUGGGGGCAGCCCGGGUAUUGCUAACAUGGGCUUGUUUAGUUAAAAAAUAAAAGGAAAACUCACUUUAGCUAGAGACCAAUUGCCCGGAUGGUGGGGAGAGCUGCUCCGGAGGCAAGAACCACAGCUCAAAGCUUGACAUCAACGUGGGCAACUGUAGAGCCCGGGGCCCCAGGGCCGCCUCAACAGAAUUUCAAGAGUCACCACCAUGGGCAGAGGCCAUCCGAGGUGGGCUCUGCGCUGACCCAGGCUGAUUGCCCCAGCUGGGACCCUCCCCACCAACCCUGUGCUGAGAUGCACCGCAAGUGGACACCGUCUUCACCCAGGCAGCCUGGUGAACCCAGCCUCCCUCAGUUACAUUGAAUGCAUCAGACCCCCAGGCACAACCCCUCCGGUGGGGGCUGCAGGCCAAGCCUCUGUGAACCACCUGCAUCCUAGGAGUGGAGUCACCAGGGCCUGGAGCAGCGGGUGGUUGGUGUGGCUGUGCACACCAGUGGAGGAGCCACCCUGCCUCUGCCCACUUCUGGGGGGCCAGCACCCUUGGCUGUGGCGCCACCCAGCCACACACCUGUCUGCCCAUGUCUCUCCCCAUCUUCUAUGGACACCAGCGGUUGGAUCCAGGGCGACUCCAUUUGAGCUCAUGCAUCUGCAGCAGCCCAUCUCCACCUGAGGCCACACCCACGAGUGCUGGGGUCAGGACUCAACACAUCUUUUCAGGGAACACAAUUUUACCCACAACAGCAGGAAAGGGACCACAACAGGCUACAGAGCAGGCACACACGGGACUGGCUGGAGGCACCGGUGCAGGGAGUCCCGAGCUGAAGGAGAGGGCCUGCCUGUUGCCACAGUCUGGGCAAGAAGAGUCUGUACAUGCUGUCGCGUGUGAAGGCUGCACUGGCCAGGGACCAGGCCUGGGCACCAGGGAUGUGGCCACCAACUGGGUCAGCUAGAAGUGAAGCCCACCCCCAUGGCCAGCGCCUCACAGCAUAGCAGGCCUGGCCCGCACCACACGGGGGACCCCAACCCAUCUGCACAUGCAGGCCUCCGGGGAGACAGCACUGCCCCACUAGAUGGAACAAAGCACGCGGUGUUCUCGAGAAGGAACAGCUUCCCAGAAAGAGGAAACCCCUAACGCCGAGGCCGUGCCAGAGAGUGAGGAGAACACGCUUGCUCCGAAACAAAGGACCCACUGAUGUCACACCAUGUCCGAGAAAUUCUCGAUGAGAGCCCCAGAUGGCAGGAUGCGUAAUAUAAAUAUAACUGACACGCCAACUGCCUGGGCCGGAGUGGAGAGCCCCAGAGGAUGCGGGGUGAGGGAGAACUUACGAGCGCGAUUCCAGCACAAUUCAUUACAUUCUUUCUAAAGAGAAGCUACAGGGAAAAGGCCUACGGUAUGUCUUGAACAUGCAGAACUGGUAAAAACAGGACUUAAAAAUUAAACGCGAACUUUUCAAAUAAAAACCUCUAGGUUAACAUUUAUGCACAAUA